CUGGUCUCGAAUGCCUGACUUCGUGAUCCAUCCGCCUCGACCUCCCAAAGUGCUGGGAUGACAGGAGUGAGCACUGUACCUGGACUAUUUGGGGAAUCUUUAAAAGGCAAAUCAUUCUAGCGUUAUUUGUGAUUUAAUUUUAUGGUUUGCUUUCCUUUAGUGAUGACAGGCAAACACGGUGGCAUGACAGAGUUCAGAUGAAGGAGAUAAGAAUUUGGUCAAGGGUGUUGAAGUAUCAUUAUAAAGUGGGAAGAAGUUUUUCUCCCCACUGAUUUUGCAUUUUUUCUAGAGCCAGCUCUCAAGACGAUAAUUUUAUGCAAGAAACACAGAGCUAAUAUGCUGCAAAUUACUUUGAUCUUCCACAUAGCAAUGUGACAUCAAUUAAACAUUAUUGAACUUUGAUAUAUACUAGAUACAGUUGUGAGAAAAUAUACAUUGCACUCUUAUGGAGUGUGUAGAGUAGUUGCGAUCUCUGUCAGUUUACAUAUAUAAUAAUAUAAAAGUUAAUAAAAUCAUAAUAAAUGCUACAAAAGAAUAAUACAUGAUAUUAUAAAAAUAUGGACUGGCAGCAUCAAUGAGGGCAUGUAUGAGAACAUAUAUAAUGGGGACUCAAAGAGAAAGUGUUCCAAAGUUUAACUUCUGUACCCAGCCUGCUUGUUUCCCUCAGAGGAUCUUGACAGAACUAAGAAAAAUAGGAUAUGUAAUGAGCUGAAAUAUUAUAUAGAUUUAUUAGUUCGUUUAGCAAGUAUUUAUUGAAGCUUUGUGCUGAAAAUAUGUGUCUCUCCCAUUUGACCCUUUCUUUUCCUUCCCCACGCCAUCCACCUUUCCUACCAUACAUCUCACACAUCUCAAUGAUUGCAUCUGCUUCCUACCUCAAUCUCUUUCCACUUCCAUGUAGCCCAUACAUGUUGGUCCAAUGAUGUUUUUGUAAAGCCAGUACUUAUGUUGUAUUUUAUGCAUUCUUUUGCUAUAUAGCACUAAUCUCACUGAAUUCUAUCCAAGCUCAAUAACAUUUGUCACACAAUGCUGGAACUCCUCUAAUAUUUUAUCUCCCUACUCUCUAUAAGAUCAGGUGCCGUUCUCAGCUUGGCCUUCUGGGAUUUGCACAAGUAUGACCUCAAACUCUUCUCUAAUUUUCUCACUCCUUUAUUUAUACACAAGUCUUCUACUUUCAUCAAACCAAUGCACUUCGAAUGCCUUUACUAGCUUUACUUAGGCCUUUUCUUUACAAAAAAAAAAAAAAAAUUAUCCCCACUAUUCUCUGUUUAGGUAAAUUUGACUCAGCUCUCUAGGUUUCAUCUAAAAUAAACUUUGCUUUCUAUAAACUAUAUUACAUUUUGUGAAGAGUUUGAUAUUAAGCACACACACAUGCAUACAUAUAUCUAUAUAGGCUUAUAUGUUAAAAUGUAUGUGUAUACAUUUGUAUCACUGGAGUAGUAGGUCUUUGAAAAUAAGAAUUUUCUUUUACUUGUAUAAACUCUAUCGUUUGAUACAUAAAUUUUUCAUAACAAUUUAUUGAUUGAUGAAUUUGUGGUGAUAUGGAGGAAAAGCAGUGCAAUUAUCAACUAUCCAAUGAGAAUGUCACACUCAACUACACUAUAUAAUAGUUUUUUUGUUUGCUUUUAGCCAGCCUUUAAUUAAAUUCUCAGAAUUGGUUUUCAGUAUGGUUCCCAAACAUUUAUCUGAUUCUGCUGUAUUUUGGAACCACUGAGAUGUUUAGACUUCAAAAAAAAAAAAAAAAAAGAAUACUAUAGUUGCAGCAUCUGGAAAUAAGCCUGUGAUUCUGUAAUCUAAUGCAUUCUGGGAUUUGCCAGAAUUGUCAUAAUUAGAAUAUUUUAAUAUUGUUUAUACCAUGAAAUUUUUUCAUUAAGUCUAUUGACCUCAUGCUAAGUUAGAAAUUAUUUUUAAUAAAUAAGAAUUUAUCAACCGGUUGUCAGAAACUCUUGUAUUUUACACUAGGGGCUUCUAUUUCCCUCAAAAUCUGCAGGAUACCUGGCAUGAAGGAAAUAAAACUCUAAUUUACUGACAAGUGUGUAAGCAAGGCAGGAGUGAGGAAAAAGUGGUCUUGGGGAUACUUUUAUUAGUCUAAGUUUAUUAUUAGUCCACUUUGUUAAUGUCUAAGCUAGGUUCAAAACUAGAAACUAUCAAUCCAUAUUCCAAAUCUACUAAAUCUGAGUUAAUUAUUUUUUGAACUUUUAGAUUUAGGCAUAAAUAGGUAUGACUGUAGUUAAUAUGUCUUCCAACUGCCAAAAUACUAAGUUGCUUUAAAAGUUGACUGCCUUAUAGAGGUGGUUCAAGAACUCCCUUGAAAGUAAGAUGUCAUACAGUGAAUACCAGGUGCUUCUAAAAACAGUAGGAUAUUUUACUUUUGUCUCAUUGGAAACAACAUUUUAUAUAAAUAUCAUGUCACCUAAUAACAUUUUUCUAUUACAGAGAGGGAGGCUAUUAUUAUUAUUAUUUCUUCUUGUCCCCAGAAACAAUUUAAAGUGAUAUUAUAGGCAAAUAUCUCUAGUCAAAUCUGGAUAGUCUUCUCAUCUUCCAAACAAAUGUAUUUCAUUUUUUUGUUUGUUUUUAAGGCAGUAAUGGUCCCUAUUUUUUUCAUUUAUAUAAUGGUUUUACAAUCAUACAAUGUACAAUUUAAACUGUAAGUUCACUUUACAAAGGGAUUCUGGCAUGUAUGUUGUUGUUUCUUAAAUUACAACGGUAGAGUUUUCUUCAACAUGCAUGCUUUAUUCCCUCCUCCCUCAUUCCCUCAGAAUGCUCCCUUUUCUUCCAUUACAAAAUGUCCCAAACCUAAGGGAAAGGAAUCUUUGGUAAGGCAUUAGAAAUUAGCAAAAUUUUGCAUCACGCAGUCUAGCUAUCUGCUUAGCUGACCUCUCUUCUUUUAUUCCUGGAUAUCCAGCUAGAUAUCAUAUGCCGGUUAAGAAUGCAUUUUAUAACUUGCUGUGCCAUUUAGUGGCCCUUAUUCUCUGAUUACCUGGCAGUUAGCUGUGACUAGUCAACUGUGAGUGAAGGUGACAGCUGCCAUUCCAGGUGUGGUCUAUUUAAACUCCCAUGUCACUUCCCUUUUAGUGGCUUGAUGUAGAGAUAACAGCAGCACCAUCUGCAGUCCCUGAAUCGCCCUUUGUGGGAAAACCGACUUCUGAUCAGCAGCACUGGUUUGAACUUUACAGGAGCUGAAAUCAUGUUCAUUCAUGGAGUGAAAAAGGAGAUAAAGAUAUCAAAUCUACAAAUAUUGAACAAGUUUUUCACCAAUAAACCAUUACUAAAGGAUAUACACUUCAAGAAGGAGAAUAAUGACUCCAGAAAGAAAGUUUAAGAUGCAAGAAGUGGCUACGGCUAUGAUGAUUUCUGGCAAUCAAGUAUAGAAGAAUUGUUUUUAAAAAUCUAUGACUCUCUACUCUUUUGUUGGGCAGUUUGAUAUCAAUACCCAGAAUAAAUUUGUAAGUAACAAGUUGAAAAUAGCAGGACUGAGUUUCUAAACGACUGUGUAGAGAAAAGUACAAAAUUGUUACCUCACCAAUGCUAACUAAUAACAUUCUGUCAGAUGUUACAUGAAUGAGAUAUAAAUGUAUACCUUGCUAAGCUCCAGACUUUCUAGGGUUUCUUUUUUAUGCCUUCUAGCAUUAUCUUACUAAUAUAGAACUUAAUACAUAAAAAUGAAAACGGGUAACUGACAGAACAACACAGUAAAUAUUUGGAAUUUCCAUGACAGUGAGGAUGAAGAUGGAAACGAAUGCAUACUGGAGAAUGAGGAGAUGAAGUGUCAUGCUAUGCAGCGGAAAACAUUUGGUAAAACUGUCAUCCUUGAGAGCUUAGAAAGGUAAUCUGAAACGCUUCUAAACCUAGAAAAGGAGUUACAAGACAGAACGUUAAAAAUGUGUGAUUAUUACUAGCUACAUUCAUCGAAUUAUUAGAAGAAAGACAUGAGCUCAGGAAAAUACUGGUUAGGUUGUUGGGAGAAUAAAUGAAAAUAGAAAGAAUGCAAAAUGUGGGACCUUGGUCAGUAUAGCAGAUUAAUUGAAAAACUGUUCUUAAUUCUCCAUCACUGCCUGUAUUCACAUCCUUCACUGGGUAACUUUGCACAUCUUACCAUUAGAAAAUGGAGUCUCUUAACCCAUGCUUUGAGUAUGGCUUGCCUUAUGAUUUGCUUUGGCCACUAUAUUGUAGCUUUAAUUCUUUUGUGCUGCUCUCACUCUUGGACCCUUGCCUUUACCAUGAGAACAAUCAGGAAAAUUAGGAUAUAGAACAUUUUUUAUAAACCCCAAGUUCUUCCUCAUAUCUCUUCCCAAUUAUUUCACCCAUGUCCCAGGCAAUCAAUGAGCUGAUGUCCAUAAUUUAGGAACACUUUCACCAGUUUUAUACUUUUAUGUAAAUUGAAUAAUACACUACGUAGUAUUUUGAGUAUGUCUUCUGUCUCUCUGUGUAAGAUUUAUAAGAUUCAUUUAAGUUGUUGUGCACAUCGGUAGUUAAUUCCUUUUAAUCGCCGAGGAGUAUAUCGAUAUAUGGAUAUGCUACAGUUUGUUUAUCCAGACGCCUGCUGACUGUUGGACAUUUGGUUUUCAGUUUUAGGCUAUUAUGAAUAAAACUUUAUACAAGUAUUUGUGAACACACAUUUUUAAUUCUUUGGGGUAAGUAAAAAGCAUAGAAAUUCUAGAAUGUACGGUAAGUAAAUGUUCAACUGUAUAAGUACUUACCAGACUAUUUUUCCAUUGUACCUGUAUAAUUUAACAUGUCUACCAACAGUGUAGGAAAUUUCCAGUUGUUCUACAUCUUUGAAAAUACUUGGUAUUGUCAAUCAUUUAAUUUUAGUCAUUUUUGUAGUACUGUAGUGAUACUAAAGUGUGGUUUCAAUUUAUAUUGCCUGAUGACUAACAACUUGGAGCUACUUUGGAUGUUUUUAUUAGCCAUUCGCAUACUCAAAUCUUUGGUUCAUUUUUUAUGUUGCAUUUUUUCCUUCCCAGCAUUAAAUGUAAGAAUUAUUAGUUCAUACUGGAUACAAGUUCUUUAUCAAAUAUAUAUUGCACAUAUUUUCUUCCAAUCUGAGCUUGCCUUUUUAUUUUCUUACCAUUGUCUUUUGACAAAAGCAGGUUUUAAUUUUGAUGAAGUUCUUUUAAUCUUAUUGUUUUCUUAGUGGUUUUUCGUUUUCUGUCUUAAGAAGUAUUUUCUGACUCCAGAAAGUAAAAAGUGAGAUAUUGUUCUAUGUAUUUGUAGAAUACAUAGAAAAUACAUAGAUUUACAUUUAGGUAUGUAGAAAUCUAUACAGAAUACAGAGAUUUACA
rnacentral:lncRNA from 1 species